rnacentral:lncRNA from 1 species
GUGCCGCAGCAGCCGACGCAUGCUUGCAGCUGUGUUCCGUAAGUGUUGUGUGGUGUUCCCUAGCAUUUAGGUUUCUCGUGUGUUGCAUGUGGCGUUGGUUGUUUGCAAUACUGCUGCGUUGGAAGCUUCCUCUACGGAUACACGCUGUAAAGACUUGGAAAAGUGCCCACACCGGAGCACGUUGUUGCGCGCCGAGCCGCAAUGGUGAACUGCGCCGUCUACGGUUGUUCCAACCGGUCAAAAAACAAACCCAACGAUGAGAACUUUCAACCGCUGGGCUUCUAUGUCGUGCCCAAAGUCAAAGAAGGACAGUGUCUUAGGACAGCUGAGCUGUCUUCAAGGCGCAGAGCUCUGUGGCUGAGCAGAAUUCGUCGCAAAGACCUGGACGAAUUGGCGACGCAUUACCGAGUUUGCGGGGCGCAUUUCAUCACAGGACGACCAGCUUAUUUGAUGGAUGAGGCUAAUCCCGACUGGGCGCCGAGCCUCAAUCUCGGCUACAAGUCCACGACGCACGCUGGAAGAAGCGCAAGCGACAGGUGCAAAUUAAUUUUGUACGCAGUCAAACAAGUGAUUAUGAACUAAUCGAACUAAUUUUUUACAGGUAUAUGCGACUCAAGCAACGAAGGCGCGCGAGUUCUGCAGCCAACGCCUUUGAAUUAAGGCAGCGACCGGAGAGCGCGAGCACGAACGCGGCGCCCAUCGCUGCAGGAACGGCGGCCGAGGAGAUUUCUUUCAGUGACGAAGAAUCCCCCUCAUCAGAACAAACUGCAAUGCAACACCUUGUAGGCCAUGCAUCUCCCGAGGAGCCUUCAUGCUUGGAAUGUCCAGUUCUACAAGAAAAUCUAGCCACAGCUCAGUGCCACCUGCAAGCGGAUCUGCAGAAUAACCAAGCUUCUGCAUGCAAGUAUCGCACAGUUUUGUUUCUAGGGCUUGCAAAUCCUGUGUUCCUGCA